GGGAUAUUAGUUUAUUUAAAAUAUUUAAUUUGCAAUUAAAAGAAACUUUUAGUUAAUCUCA
rnacentral:tRNA from 1 species